CCACGCCAUUUCGUCGAGGGAAAUUGUCCUGAGAUCUGCAGAACUCAUUCCAUCAGACAUGUCCAAACUGUUAUCAGUUUUCUGAAGCCCAUUCUUAUUCUCUAAUCGAUUAUUGUCGUUCUCCAUGUUCUCCGAAUCGCCAGAGUUUCGCUGCUAUCUUCUGAGUUAGUUAAAAUAUCUUGAAGAGAUUUUACCACCAUGCUCAACAUCCCGGUUCCUCGUCCACCACCCCUGGAUCCUGAGACAACGCCUGCAGGAUCUACUGUCAAGGUCCUGAUGUUCAUCAUAGUUCUGAAGAUAGAAAAUUCAGAGCAAAGAUUAAAAUCUUAUGCCAUUAAAUCGUUCCGAAUCACUUUCAACGCUAAUUAACGCCUUAUGAUUUUGAUGGACAAGAAUCGUUUUGCAAAUUCGCGAACAUCAUAAUAAGUUAUGGAGACGUACGUUGAUAAAGGGGAAGAUUUCGCAUCCGACUGUUGUUCCAACGACAUUUCAAGGAGGACUGAAUUAUUCAACCAGUAGAACAACUGACAGGUGGAUAACUAAUAAGCACUCGAUUUCACAUGAAAGAACAUCCGCGUGUCCGUGUAUCAUUUCUACAUGCGAAUGUAACGCACGACAUACACUUACAAUCAUAUUUGUAUAUAAUUCUAUUACCGGUUGAAACCCGAAGCAUGCGUGAGGUUCUUGGCUUACUAAUGCCGUAAUCCAAUAUUCACGAAAUUUGUCGCCCUGCAGUCAUCGAUGAAUCCCGCACCAGGUGAUCGAAUAUAUUCGACAUCGCUACUUAAUCGCAGUAAAGAAAAAAAAUAAUGAAGCUAUAUCCGAAAUCAUACAAGCGGUUUAGAAUUUCAAUGUACUUUUAUAAAUACUUAUUCUCAUCAAAAGCCGUACCUACCAAUCGUAUUUUUUUCCUUAUUUUUAGCUAAACAAAUUCGCGUUCGAAUACUUUUCCUGAAUAAUUCUGAGGAGUAUUUCAAUUAUUUGAUUAUAAAGAUCAGACUUUAUGUGAACGCACUAAUAUCGUAUCGCUUAUAAAAUGCUGAUGAAUAGCGAGAGAUCUGAUGUUUUAUAUGCUUCGGGCACUUUGCAUUUGACCCCCACUUCUUUUUACGUGUAUUCCCUAGAUAAAUAACAAGUGUGUGAUAUCGAGUAAAAUGUUUUGGCGAUUACAUGGGCCAUAAACAAACUUGAUACGGCAGUGGCAAAAAAUGGUUUGUAAUUUUCUGUUUUAUUUUCACCCUCACUUCUGCUACUGGUUUAUCACCUGGUACUAAAUUUAGUUUAGCUAAUUAUAAUCACCCUCUGUUAUGUUAACUCAAGAUUUUCACAUUAAUUCACUGAAAAAAUUGAAACCAAAUGGCUCUUUUAAAUCGUUUUUAUGAUUACACGGCCUCGUUGCUUCAAUUUCUCAUAUCUGCCUAUCAAUCCUCUCUGCUGAUUCAAUCAAAUUGCUCAAUUUUAUUCACUUUAUUUUUCAUCUGACAUUCUAUUGAUUGGUUUGAUAUGCUGUUCUUUUUUGGCAUUCAGUUACAUCUGUUGCUGUCGUAAUUGUAUAUAUGUUUUUACUUUUGAUUUUCCGUCUAUUAUUGCCAGACUUAUUUUUCAAAACAAACUUGUCGUUCCAUUUUUUGUGCGUAAUUUAUUCGCAUGAUUCUCCAGUGAUUAUUGUAGAUUUUAGUUCAAUAUAUCUAUGAUUUUAGCGAUAAUUGCAUAUUUUACAUCGUAUUUCAUCUCGCAAAAAUGUGGUAUCGUGUAUUAAGAUAAUGGUAACGUUGGUUGUUGCACGUUUUCGAAUCGAACGAAACUAUUUCUUAUUGUAUGUAUAUGAUAUUAUUUGCAACAGCAUAGAUAUAUUGCGAUAGUGAUAUUCUUAAAUUGUAGGGCAACAACAUUACUUUUAAACGUCACGAAUCCGGAUGACGAUAAUGAUUACGUUAAUUACAUUCAAAUCUACGUGAUAUUAUUCCUCAUUGUUCAAAAUAAUACUGGAUACCCUUCUAGAAUAUGUACGUACGUACAUCGUAGUCACUGAUGCUGAAUUUCCCUAAUGUUUCAUCAUUAUCAGCACUGAGUUUGCUUCUUAUAUAAAUGCGAUAAGCUUCCCAAUAUUUAUGCAACGAUUAUAUCUUGUAACGAGCAUUAUUAGGCAAAUGUAUUACAACACAUUGGCAUAUAGAGAAUGGCUUGUCCACGGUUAUCUUUUUGGAGGGUAAACACGGUCAACGACUUUAUUGAUAUUGUAUUCAAAGACUAUCGUUGGUGCUUAUUAAUAUUUUUCUCCUUGUAGUUUUCUAUAGUUUAUAAUCAAAUACCAACGUCAAGCACGCAAGCAACGGCAAGCCCCCCAGAUCAGGAAAAAUUCAAAGAAUUCAUUUGAUUUAUUAUCUCUUCUAAGCCGUGACAUACGGCAAUAUGCCGAUGUGAUUCUCUUCACUCCGAUGCCGUUUUCAGGUUGCCUGCAUGUUAGAGGCCUCCGUACAGCUCUGUGCAACAUGAUGCAACUAUUCUUUGGCUCGGGAAAACCAAGGGAAUUUUAUUCUACUUCUGGAAGACAUGGAUCGAACAGGACUCGUACCUCAUGCUGCAGGUACACUCCAAGCGGUUUCGUUCCGGACUGGAAUCAUCCCGCACAAAGACCUGACAAGGGGUGAACAUGUAGGCUUCUGCUUUCAAUCGAAAUGUCUGGAAUUGUACAAGUAUCUAUUCCAAUAUCCCUUCUGCUAGUAUGAAUUCGCCUGUAACAAUCACUGAUACUUCCAUCCUUUGUAGUGAGCAGGUUCGAGAAGUUUUCCUCCAAAACGCCUCGGCGUAGCGCUGUUUUUGUUCAGAUGAUAGACUGGGGCUCCUAAGAGAAGAAUCGUUAAGGUUAGGAAAACACCAAAGCACGACAAGUAUAGACAUCUGAACAAAGAGGAUCUGGAGGAUAAAUUGGCGCGUAGAGAAUCUCACUGCUUCAGAUUUGAGGUACAAGAAAGAAAUGCAAUGCGAACUUCUGAAAUCAAAAUAUAUAGAAGGAGCGUGAGAAAUUAUUCGAAAGAAAAUCCAAAUCCUCAUCACAUAUUUUAAGAAAAUUCCAAGGCUAUAGGCUUACCGUUUUUUCGGACUGAAAGGUAAAGUAUUCCCCAGAAUAAUUCCAGAGAGCUUUCUCUACCUGAAGAAGCGUAUCGGCCAAGGAGUCGUCAAUCAAAUUGAGCUAGUGUAAAAUCCCAUCGAUAUAUCUUUGAUUUUUAACUUUUUCGAUCGAUUAAUUGGCGAUAACUCGAUCAAUUUCAUAGAUGGAAUUAGUCUGCUUGCAGAUUCGGAUUCCUGAGAUCAGAAUACAUGAAGAUAGCGUGAUAGACCCUUCAAAAAAAAAUCUGAAUCUUCAUCUCAAAUUUUAAGAAUAUUCCAAGGCUAUAGGCUUACCGUUUUUUCGGACUGAAAGGUGAAGUAUUUGCCAGAAUAAUUCCAGGACGCUUAACCUACGUUAAAAAUGCGCAACAAACACGAAGCCGUCGAUCAAAUUGAGCUGGCAUCAGAUCCCAACGAUUUGGAUUCCUGAGACCAGAAUACAUAGGAAUAUCAUGGAAAACUUCAUGAAAAAAAUUCGGAAUCAUCAUCUCAAAUUUUGAGAAAACUCCAAGGCUAUAGACUUACCGUUUUUUUGGGGUACAAAGUGAAGUAUUUGCCAAAUCAGUUCCGGGACGCUUUCCUACGCAAAAUCGCAAAAUCGCGUAUCAAACACGAAGUCAUUCAUUAGAUUCGGCUCGUUUUAAAUUCCAUCGAGACACUCAGAUCAAUUAGGACUUGUACCAGAUGCUAUCGGUUAACUCAAAGGGGUUUUAUUUCGGGCAGGAAUCCUCCCGAACAAAUACCUGACAAAUUAUAGUUGAGAUUCAUCAUAUUUCCUUACCACUCUCUCAUUUUAUUUUUCAGGAGAGCAUUGGGGCAUCGAGAUCACUAAGGCAACGGUGGCAACACACCCGCAUAGAAAAUACAAGACUAUCCUCGAUGCAUUCACACAACUGGACUUUACAAUAUCCUGCAGUUUGGUGAUCUAUACUUCCAAUUAUUAUGUGUUCCGAGUGGAUAAUUACGUACAAAUGAACGAUAAUGUAUACCUCUUGUAUCUUAGAGAAUAAGAAAUGAAUAAUUGAAUAUUAAUUGAAAUGAAACUAUCGUCCAUACUCUUGUAACGCAUUGAUCAUGAGUAUACAAAAAUGAAUUUAUAUUGUUCAUUGCAAAGUCUCAAUAUGUAUUCUUGACGAUUGAUUUAUUAAUAAAAACUCUCUGUAACUAAUA